rnacentral:rRNA from 1 species
GACGGAAGGUGCAAGCGUUGCUCGGAAUCACUGGGCGUAAAGGGUGCGUAGGCGGCCGUGCAAGUCUGGCGUGAAAGCCCCGGGCUCAGCCCGGGAAGUGCGCUCGAAACUGCGCGGCUCGAGUGCCGGAGGGGAGAGUGGAAUUCCUGGUGUAGCGGUGAAAUGCGUAGAUAUCAGGAGGAACACCGAUGGCGAAGGCAGGUCUCUGGGCCACUACUGACGCUGAGAAGCGAAAGCAUGGGGAGCGAACAGG